GUCUGCAACCCGACUCCGUGAAGCUGGAUUCGCUAGUAAUCGCGCAUCAGCCAUGGCGCGGUGAAUACGUUCCCGGGCCUUGUACACACCGCCCGUCAAGCCAUGGGAGCCGGGAGCGCUUGAAGUGCGUCGCCGCGAGGCGCGCCCUAGAGCGAGACCGGUGACUGGGGCUAAGUCGUAACAAGGUACC
rnacentral:rRNA from 1 species